rnacentral:rRNA from 1 species
UACGAAGGGGGCUAGCGUUGCUCGGAAUUACUGGGCGUAAAGGGCGCGUAGGCGGACAGUUUAGUCAGAGGUGAAAGCCCAGGGCUCAACCUUGGAAUUGCCUUUGAUACUGGCUGUCUUGAGUACGGGAGAGGUGAGUGGAACUCCUAGUGUAGAGGUGGAAUUCGUAGAUAUUAGGAAGAACACCAGUGGCGAAGGCGGUCUCUUGGGGCAUUCUUGACGCUGAGGCGCGAAAGCUGGGGGAGCGAACGGG